AAAGAAAGUCUGCUUAAUGUCUAACAUUUAAAUUGAAAACAAAUGUCGGUUGGAGCUUACUGCUCAAAAACUGAACUGCUAAUUGACUAUGGCCGUCAAGCCUUCAUUGAAUAUAAGCAAGUUCAAAACUCAUAAGGAACAGUCAGUGCAAGUCUGCUUGAAUACUGAAGUCAAAAGAAAACGAUAAAUAAGGAGAAAUCUUAUCCUUCGUAAAGAAUCUCAUGCUGACUAAAUCAAUGAUACUGGCCGAGAGGAUGGCAGUUUGAACGAUGGAAAUAUGCGUCACAUGAUUUUGACAUUAAAGUUUUCUUUGAGCAAGUUGCUGCAUAUUGUAUGCAAGAAUUAAUUUUAACCUCAGCUAAAAAGAAAGUCUGCUUAAAGUCUAACAUUUAAAUUGAAAACAAACGUCGGUUGGAGC